rnacentral:rRNA from 1 species
AGAAUCAACGCUGGCGGCGUGCCUAACACAUGCAAGUCGAACGAGAAAGGGUAGCAAUACCUGAGUACAGUGGCGCACGGGUGAGUAACACGUGACUAACCUACCCUGGAGUGGGGAAUAACUGAGGGAAACCUUAGCUAAUACCGCAUAAUACCUACGGGUCAAAGGAGCAAUUCGCUUCAGGAGGGGGUCGCGGCCGAUUAGCUAGUUGGCGGGGUAAUGGCCCACCAAGGCAAUGAUCGGUAUCCGGCCUGAGAGGGCGCACGGACACACUGGAACUGAAACACGGUCCAGACUCCUACGGGAGGCAGCAGUGGGGAAUUUUGCGCAAUGGGGGAAACCCUGACGCAGCAACGCCGCGUGGAGGAUGAAAUCCCUUGGGAUGUAAACUCCUUUCGAUCGGGACGAUUAUGACGGUACCGGAAGAAGAAGCCCCGGCUAACUUCGCGCCAGCAGCCGC